rnacentral:misc_RNA from 1 species
UUGAGUGGUUGGAUGUGAGGGUUUGCUGGACUCUUAAAAGGGUUCAGCUCCCUUGAAAUGCAUUAGCAGAACAACCUGUUCAUUGGUGUGAUAACUAUCUACACUAUUGAAUGCAAUGGCCAGUUCAGCUUUCUAACCGUCCUUGGACAAUUUAUCAUUAAUGUGACCUCAAAUCAGGUAGGACUACCCGCUGAACUUAA